rnacentral:lncRNA from 1 species
AGAACCUGAGUCUCUACAUUGUCUUCAUAGACCUGACAAAGGCGUUUGACACAGUGAACAGGGACACAUUGUGGGUGAUCCUCAGCAAGCUCGGUUGCCCAGCAAAAUUCAUCAAACUGAUCCAGCUCUUUCAUGUCGACAUGACAGGGGAAGUCCUAUCUGGUGGAGAGACUUCCGAUCGCUUCAACAUCUCCAAUGGCGUGAAACAAGGCUGUGUCCUCACUCUGGUACUAUUCAACCUAUUUUUCACCCAAGUAUUACGACAUGCUGAUGGAUCUAGACCUGGGCGUCUACAUCAAAUACCGACUGGAUGGCUCACUAUUUGACCUUCGCCAUCUGACUGCAAAAACAAAGACAACAGAGAGACUCAUCCUGGAAGCUCUCUUUGCAGAUGACUGUGCUCUCAUGGCCCACCAAGAAAAUCAUCUCCAAACCAUUGUGGACAGGUUCUCCACCACAACAAAACUGUUUGGCCUGACUAUCAGCCUCAGCAAAACAGAGGUGCUGUUCCAACCUGCACUAGGGAGGACAACUAACCAGCCGUGCAUUACAAUCGAUGGCACGCAGCUUUCUAACGUCAACACCUUCAAGUACCUGGGCAGCACCAUCGCCAACGACAGGUCCCUAGACCACGAGAUUAAUGCCAGGAUCCAAAAGGCCAGCCAGGCACUUGGGUGGCUGCACUGCAAAGUCCUCCAACACAGCGGUGUAAGCACUGCGACAAAGCUCAAAGUGUAUAACGCAGUGGUCCUCAGCUCGCUCCUGUACGGUUGUGAAACAUGGACACUGUACCGGAAGCACAUGAAACAGCUGGAGCAAUUCCACCAACGCUCCCUCCGGUCAAUCAUGAGGAUCCGAUGGCAGGACCGAAUCACCAAUCAGGAAGUCCUCGACAGAGCCAACUCCACCAGCAGCAAAGUAAUGGUCCUCAAAACCCAGCUACGAUGGUCUGGACACGUCAUCCGCAUGGACCCACAGCGAAUACCAAGACAGGUAUUCUAUGGUGAACUGUCAGCUGGACUCAGGAAACAAGGCCGACCAAAGGAAAGAUUCAAGGAUCAGCUAAAGUCCAACU